AUAAUACUCCCUCUGUCCGGAAUUACUUGUCAUGAAAAUGGAUGUGUCUACAACUAAAAUACAUCUAGAUACAUCAAUUUCAAUGACAAGUAUUUUCGGAUGGAGGGAGUAGUAG
rnacentral:pre_miRNA from 1 species